UCAGGACUAUGAGAGAGAGAGAGAGAGAGAGAGAGAGAGAGAAUAUUGUGUUUUUUAAGGUAUCUCUCUCUCUCUCUCUCUCUCUCUCUCUCUCACACACACACACACACAC